rnacentral:rRNA from 1 species
AUACGUAGGGUGCAAGCGUUAAUCGGAAUUACUGGGCGUAAAGCGUGCGCAGGCGGUUUUGUAAGACAGAGGGGAAAUCCCCGGGCUCAACCUGGGAACUGCCUUUGUGACUGCAAGGCUAGAGUGCGGCCGAGGGGGAUGGAAAUCCGGGUGUAGGAGUGAAAUGCGUAGAUAUGCGGAGGAACACCGGUGGCGAAGGCAAUCCCCUGGGCCUGUACUGACGCUCAUGCACGAAAGCGUGGGGAGCAAACAGGAUUAGAUACCCUGGUAGUCCACGCCCUAAACGAUGUCAACUGGUUGUUGGGUCUUCAUUGACUCAGUAACGAAGCUAACGCGUGAAGUUGACCGCCUGGGGAGUACGGCCGCAAGGUUUAAACUUAAAGGAAUUGACGGGG